GAUUGACCUCGGAUCAGGUAGGGAUACCCGCUGAACUUAAGCAUAUCAAUAAGCGGAGGAAAAGAAACC
rnacentral:rRNA from 1 species